rnacentral:rRNA from 1 species
UACGUAGGGUGCGAGCGUUAAUCGGAAUUACUGGGCGUAAAGCGUGCGCAGGCGGCGCGUUAAGACAGUUGUGAAAUCCCCGGGCUCAACCUGGGAACUGCAUCUGUGACUGCAUUGCUGGAGUGCGGCAGAGGGGGAUGGAAUUCCGCGUGUAGCAGUGAAAUGCGUAGAUAUGCGGAGGAACACCGGUGGCGAAGGCGGGUCUCUGGGCCGUAACUGACGCUGAGGAGCGAAAGCGUGGGGAGCGAACAGG